rnacentral:rRNA from 1 species
CCUACGGGAGGCAGCAGUGGGGAAUAUUGCACAAUGGGGGGAACUCUGAUGCAGCGACGCCGCGUGGGUGAAGGAGUACUUCGGUACGUAAAGCUCUAUCAGCAGGAAAGAAAAUGACGGUAUCUGACUAAGAAGCCCCGGCUAACUACGUGCCGGCACCCGCGGUAAUACGUAGGGGGCACGCGUUGUCCGGAUUGACAGGGUGUAAAGGGAGCGUAGACGGCAGUGCAAGUCCGGUGUGAAAGCCCGGGGCUCAACCCGGGGACUGCUCUGGAAACUGUAACGCUGGAGUGCGGGAGGGGCAGGCGGAAUUCCUGGUGUAGCGGUGAAAUGCGUAGAUAUAAGGAGGAACACCGGCGGCGAAGGCGGCCUGCUGGACCGUAACUGACGUUGAGGCUCGAAAGCGUGGGGAGCAAACAGGAUUAGAUACCCGGGUAGUC